rnacentral:rRNA from 1 species
AAGUCGUAACAAGGUUUCCGUAGGUGAACCUGCGGAAGGAUCAUUAAUGAGUUGUGAAGGGGUUUGAUGCUGGCACCCAAAUUUUGGAUGCAUGUGCUCGCCCUGACAAUCAUCUUCCAAACACCUGUGCACAUUUUUGAGGGAAUUUUGAGUUGAUUACCAUUUUUGGGUGAUUUUCUUGCAUUCCCUUAAAUUACUAUACGCUGAUACAAUGCUGAACGUGUUUUGUGCCGCAAGGCAUUAAUAUAAUAUAACUUUUAACAACGGAUCUCUUGGCUCUCGCAUCGAUGAAGAACGCAGCGAAAUGCGAUAAGUAAUGUGAAUUGCAGAAUUCAGUGAAUCAUCGAAUCUUUGAACGCACCUUGCGCUCCCUGGUAUUCCGGGGAGCACGCCUGUUCGAGUGUCGCGAAAUUUCUCAAGCUUGGAUGGCCUUUAUGUCUGUCCUUGGCCUUGGUUGUUGGGCUUUGCCGUGUCCUUCAUUGGGACGGCUGGCCUUAAAUGCAUUAGCUGAUCCUUGUGUGGCACUGGUUCUACUCAGCGUGAUAAUAGUCUGAUCGCUGAGGAACAUCCUUCGGGAUGGCCAGUCCUCAUUUGGGUUGCUUCUAAACCUGGUGUUGCAAGUUAUUUCACCCUGCAAUGCCACUUUUCAGCUUUGACCUCGAAUCAGGUGGGACUACCCGCUGAACUUAAGCAUAUCAAUAAGCGGAGGAAAAGAAACUAACAAGGAUUCCCCUAGUAACGGCGAGUGAAGCGGGAAGAGCUCAAAUUUAAAAUCUGGCAGUCUUUGGUUGCCCGAAUUGUAAUCUAGAGAAGCGUUUUCCGUGCUGGACUGUGUACAAGUUUCCUGGAUACGGAACAUCAUAGAGGGUGAGAAUCCCGUCCUUGACACAGACUCCCAGCACUUUUGUGAUGCGCUCUCGACGAGUCGAGUUGUUUGGGAUUGCAGCUCAAAAUGGGAGGUAAAUUCCUUCUAAAGCUAAAUAUUGGCGAGAGACCGAUAGCGAACAAGUACCGUGAGGGAAAGAUGAAAAGCACUUUGGAAAGAGAGUUAAACAGUACGUGAAAUUGUUAAAAGGGAAACGCUUGAAGUCAGUCGCGUUUGCUUGGACUCAGCCUUACUUCGGUUUGGUGCAUUUCCUUGCAGACGGGCCAGCGUCCAUGUUGUUUGCCGAAAAAGGGGUGAGGGAAUGUGGCUCCUUCGGGAGUGUUAUAGCUUUCAUUCGUAUGCGGGGAACGAUAUGGAGUGGUACAGCACACUUCGGUGGUGCUUGUGCUGGCAUAAUGGCUUUAAACGACC